UCGAAACAGACCGAGGGCUGUUCUUGAAAGCGCAUUCUCUGCUGCGCUUAGGCGGUCACAAGACUUGGACAUCCAUGAACAAAAACAAAGACACUACAAUUAGCCGACAUAGGUCAGGAUCAAACCCAUAUGCCACUAAACAACUCUGCCUUGAACAGGUCUUGCAAUUUUGGAAACUUAUUUCACCCGCCGUUGCGCGCUUUGGAUAACAUUUUCCCCAAUGGAAAUCUCAGCAUUAAUCCUUCCUAUCCAAACUUGACAUUGCAACAUUGUUUUUCCUAAGCAGGAAUAAGAAGUGAAGUGGUGUUCUUAGCCCACUUUCAGUGAUGGUUUUGGACGUAAAGGAGGGGCGCAUGCCUAAGGUAGCGACCACCAUGGAAUAAAUUAAACCAAAGAUAUCAACAGUUGCCUACCACCCACUCGAAAUCGAUUGUAUUAGAAGCUCGCUGAACGUAUAAAACGGGACGUAUGAUUUCAAGACCCGCUGCAGACAACGGAAUCUUCGCUCAAUAAGCUACACAACCGACAACGCCUAGAGAGAUUUGAUACAGACAACUCGUGUCCACUUUUCAGGACAAGAGGAUCCUUUAAUAACUUAAAUCAGAAAAGCCAUGCAGGCAGAAAGGAAAUGGCACAUACUUUUGAGUAUAAUCCUUAUGCUGAUCACCUCGAGCCAGUGCAUGGACAGCAAGGAAGUGAAGCAGAAAGAAGGAAGGACCCUGCUGGACCUUAUUUUACAGGUUAUCGGAGACUGCCAAUCGGGGGACAAGCCUUCAGUCUCCAGGCGCUAUAACAGUGGCCUCUUCCCUGCAGCCCAAGAGAUGAAGUUCUCCUCUCGAGAAAAGCCUUUAUAUGUUCCUAGGCUGGAUAACAGUAGACCCAUAGAUAUUGUCCCAAGAGAUGUAAACCUGAAAGACAAGUUCAUAAAGCAUUUCACAGGACCAGUCAAGUUCUCAUCGGAAUGUAGAACACAUUUUCAUAGACUCUAUCACAACACAAGGGAUUGUUCAAAACCGGCAUACUACAAAAGAUGUGCAAGAUUGCUAACACGGCUAGCAAUGAGUCCACUCUGCACACAAUUGUAGACUUUGCAUGUUCAAAAUAUUGAGAGGGAUCUAAGUUUUGCCAAGGAAGUGCCUUCAAUUUGCAGCAGUCACAUUAAGAACAUAGUAUUGUAAUUGUUUAUAGUAUUUUUAUUUUUGUUGUUGAUACUGUAUGUAUAUGAAAAUGCUGACAGACUUUAUUGGUUUUAUGAAAUAGAUUAGCAUUUUAUUUUCAUGUAUCAUGUAUUUUUAAGAAAACCUUAAUUUAAUAUUGAAUACACCUAUUUAUUGAAAUGUAUAUAAUUAUUCACAAUAAUUCUGAAAUAUUCAAUUUUUUUUUUUAAAGUUCUCAUCUGAUGAAGUGUGUGUGAACUCAUCUCACUAAAUAUUAUUUGCUUUGUCAAUAUUACAUUUUGAGACGGUCCUACCAUGGUCGUUUAGAUAUGUCUUUCACUGUCAUUGUCUACAUUGCAUUUAAUUUGGCACUUGAAUGAUUUCACCCAAUGAAAACAUAUUGAAUGAUGACGAUGGUAAUAAUGCACUGCAGUACUGAACAAUAAAAAAUAUUCA